rnacentral:rRNA from 1 species
GGAAUUUUUGACAAUGGGGGAAACCCUGAUCAAGCAACGCCGCGUGGAUGAUGAAGUCUCUUGGGACGUAAAAUCCUCUCGACAGGGAAGAAACCGCAAGGUUGACGGUACCUGUAGAAGAAGCCCCGGCUAACUCAGUGCCAGCAGCCGCGGUAAUACGGGGGGGGCAAGCGUUGUUCGGAAUUACUGGGCGUAAAGGGCGCGUAGGCGGUUCAUUAAGUUGGAUGUGAAAACUCUGGGCUUAACUCAGAGCCUGCAUUCAAAACUGAUGGGCUGGAGUUCUGGAGGGGAUAGCGGAAUUCCUGGUGUAGCGGUGAAAUGCGUAGAUAUCAGGAGGAACACCGGUGGCGAAGGCGGCUAUCUGGACAGAAACUGACGCUGAGGCGCGAAAGCUAGGGGAGC